rnacentral:lncRNA from 1 species
AACUGAAAGAUGUUGCAAGAAGAAAAGGUCUGUUGUAUCGACUGUGAUAUUUUGAUGAAGGGUUUCGAACAUUAGAACACGAAGCUUCGCUAGUUUCUGAAGGCAUGUUUCAGUGAAUUCUUUUAUAGAUAUCGAUGUUCCCCUCAAGUCCAAGAACAAUAAAUUUGCCAUCCUUUUAAAGAAAUCAGGAGGAAUGCUUUCCAAUAUCUUGUUACCAUUGAAUGAUAAAAACUGCACUUCACUACGUAGUUGAUCUGUUAAAUUUAAAUUUUGAAUAGAAGUGAUGAACUUUUUGAUAUUGAAGAAACCUUCGAAUUCAUUCUCCGCAAUAGAAAUAGCUACAUCCCGAAUAACAUCAUGCAUCCUCGCUGAAUUUUUCUUGUCUUCUUUUUCUUCUACAACAUCUUGUAAUAACCCUUUCCUCUUCAAACUUAUAAAUAUAUCACGAUAAGUAUUCAAUGCUCUUUGUCCACGAUAAGUAUUCAAUGCUCUUUGUCCUCUAUCUUUCCUUACACACUUAUCUGCUGGUCCAAUGUCAUAGCAAAUAAAAUCUUUCAAUUGAAUUUCUUGACCUUGAGGAAAUAAGCUACAUAGUAGGAAACCCAUCUUCAAAUCAUCUUCUUCUAGGUCUUCAUAACUAAACUUCAGUGGAACGUACACAUCUUUCACAAAAUUAGACACUUUUUGAGGACAACCUUCACUUAGAAAAUUUAAACACUUAUUCCAUUUAAUCUCUUCUUCUUCUCCACGAAGUGUUUUUGCAACAACUGAUAUCGCUAAAGGUAGCCCUGCACACUUUCUACAUAUUUCUUGUGCUAUAUGGUUUAUUCUAAGAUGAUUAGGGUUAUUAUUAUCAUCAAUAUAGGAAUAUUUUCUGAAGAACUUCAAAGAUUCAGUUUCAUCAAGUCUUGCAUUCAUCUUGAUCUGUUCGGCCCCCAGUCUCUGACAAAUAUCUUGGUCUCUGGUUGUCAGAACAAUCUGACAACGUAGAUUUUCAUCAUUAAUGUCGAUACCGAUAUCAGUAAAGUUUAGAUCAUCCCUUACAUCAUCGAAUAUAAUCAAACUUACAAUUCUUUUCAAAUGAUAUGAAAUUAUUCCUGCUCUGACACGGAUCUCAUCUUUAGUCUUGAAUUCUUUUAACUCUUUAGUGGAGUAAAAACUACGAGCGAUAUUAUUUUGGAUGGUCUUGGUAUCAUUGUGUGAUACUGUUACCCAAAUAACAAAAAUGUUACCCCUUUGUCCCAUUUCAUUGUUAAUCUGCUGCAUCAAUGUGGUCUUCCCAAUUCCUCUCAUUCCCCACAACCCAAUCACUCUUUUAUUAUCUAAUGCUGCAUAUACUGAAUUUUUAGUACCUUCAAUAGAGUCAACUGAUAUGUAGUCGAUGGGUUGAUGCUCCACACCUUGCAAAUAACCGGCCUAACAACGCAAUCUUCUAAGCAAAUCCCUUAACUGAGGAGAUAGAAAUUCCAAACAUCGUGGUACACCCCAAUCUACCACUGCUAAUACUGCCUGUUUUACUAUAGGUAAUAUGCAAGCUGACACCAUCUAGAGUCCCCUCACUGCAACAAAUACACUUUCAAUUUUGUUAUUAUCGAGUAAAGUUAAAUAUAAAGAUUGGAUUUUUAAUAGAAAUAUAAAUCCAUAAAUUAAAAACACUAGAUAUAGAUAACAUAAAUCCAUAAUAAAAAAAGUAACUUAAAAACUCAAAUAUAAAAACAUAUAAAAACAGUAACUAAUUAAAAACUAAAAUAGAUAAACUCUAAACCCUAAACUAAAAACUCUUAACCCUAAACUAAAACACCCAAAAAUACAUAAACCCUAAAAUACACAAAUCCCAAAUACAUAAACACUAAAAUAGAUAAAACCCCUAAAUACAAUAAUCAAAUAAACCCCAAAUCAAAAUAAAUAAAUGAAGAUCAACAUUAAAUCAAUAUUUAACAUAAAUAAUCACAAAAUCAAUAAACCCCAAAUCAUAAAAAGAAGAUUACAUGAAGAAGAAAAUAGAAGAAUACAUGAAAAAUAAGAAGAAAAACGGGAAUAAGAAGAAGAAGAAGAAAUAAAUCAAGAAGAAGAGAGAAAGAUGAAGAAGAAGAUGAAAAGAAGAUUUACCUUUGAUGACCACAAGAAGAUGACCGGAGUGGAGUUGGGGAAGCCUAGAUCGUCGGAGGAGAGUUGGGGAAGAUUAGGGAGGAGUGGAAACGAUUUGGGGGGAAAUGAAAGAAUCUGGAUUUUUUUUCUUAUAUAAAAAAUUUCCGGCGGCCAGGCCGCCAGGAAAUACUUAAGUUCGAGUUGACUACGUUUGACUAUACGAGGGACCACGACAGCGCAAGUUGUAAUUUUAGGGUUUCUAAAAAAUCCUAGCGACCAGGCCGCCGGCUACUAAAAAAAUAAACGGGAAAAAGUAUCCAGCGGCCAAGCCGUCAGAAAUUUCUCUCCCGACCGUUGAGGGUUUUAGGAUACCGUCGGCCUAGUCACCGGCUCACUUCUUCCCGACCGUUGGGGAAAUUGGAGCUGGCGGCCAGGCCGCUGGAUUUUUUUACAAAAAAAUAUACCGUCGGCCUGGCCGCCGGGAGAUGGGCGCCAGAAUUGUGCUGGUUUUUUGUAGUGGACGACCGCAGCAGCGUCGGCAACAACUUUGGAAGUGGCCUGGGUCGCCUCGACCACCCCGUCCACAUAAACCCGAUGCGCCUCGACGUCUUUGGAAGCAUCCUCCACCAACUGAUCCCGCUUUUUGAGAGCAGUCGAGAGUUCACCCGUCAAGCGACCGACCUGGUCUUACAAUUGCGUUAACUCCUCAGCCUGAUCGGUGCCCCGCUGAAGACGGAUCCUCGAAAGAGCGGAGAGGUGGAGCAGCUGAUGGUAGAAAUCACGGUUGAGAUCCGGGAGGUCACGGAAGAACUGUCUCUGAUACUCUUCCUCUUUUUGCAUCCAAGACUCGAUGUUGUUGUAGCUCUCCAGAAGUAUCCCAGCGAGACGGGGAACAGACGAAGAGGGUUCGACCUCCGAAACACGAUCGAGGAACUUAGAUGAAAUAACGCAGGAGUUAAGCAACGCCUGAAAGUUGUGGUCCUCCAGACCCUCGGACAAGUCGACUCUCGAGCGCUCAAGCCCCCUGCUCACCGCCCGAAUGGGGUUUUUCAGGAGAAGAGGCGGGGUUUUCUUCUUCUUCUUCUUCUUCUUCUUCUUCUUCUUCUUCUUCUCGACAAUCACUUUCCUCUUCUUCUUCUUCUUUUUAUCCUUCCGCGAAUCAACAAGGACAACCUCAAAACCGGCAUUGGAGCGUGCAGGCGAAGGAGACAAAACUGGGAUCUCUUCAGAGGACCAUUUUUUAUCCAUCUGAAGCGGGACAUCUCGCUGGUAAUCCAACCGAAGUGCCAACUUCAUAUGUUUGUCAAAGGUCCAAGACGACCCCAAUACUCGCGAACAUCCACGGCCCUCGAUGAAAGACACGGAUGAGCACCUCGUGCGCGUUCUUUUCCUAAGGCUCCAAGUCAGCCAUGGCAACGGGGGUCAUGCGGGUCUUCAGCAUACUAAGAAGGGCCCAUCGGGUCGAAGGCGGCGAGUCAACAUCAAUCGGGCCAAUGACUCCCACCGACACGAGGAAGUAGCGAUCGCGCCAAUUAUGGGAACGAUCGAUUAUGUGGUCUAGGAUCGGAUACCCCGCACGCCCGGAGAUCAGCACACGUCGAGGGUCCGUGGGCAUCGAGAGAAACUGGUACCAAAUCCGGAACACGGACAACGAGACCUCGAUCCCACACUCCUGACAGAGCAAGGAAAAGGUGGUGAGGUGGUCAAUGACGGCCGGAGGGAGUUGCGAGAACAUCACUCCGCAGUAGCGCACCAUUUCAUUCAGAAAGGGAGAAAGGGGCAACUUCAGACUAGCAUCGGCGUACGGAGUGUAGAGAGAAAUCAUGCCGGACGGCGGACGAGAAGCGAGCUGGCCUCCCGCCUCCUCAAACUCGAUAACAUCAGGGCUUAUCCGCGCCAGCUACUCGUGGAUGGCCUCGAUGGUAACGACUGUCGGUGGGUCUUUGAUGUCGGGCAAAUCAAACAUUCCGGUGAGGAUAUCCAUGCCAGAACAGCGGCGAUCGACUAAUCGAUGGUUGUCGGAAGAGUGGCCAUCACAAACCUAGAAGGAGAAACCGAAGAAUGGAGAGCGGGAGAAGGGAAGAACAAAAGUGGAAUGUGAAAAGUGAAGAAAAGAAACGGAAGGGGGGUUAUAGUAUGAGGUCCGACACACAGACCACGAUAUUAAAAGACGUAUCCCAAAAUAUCGAACACGUAAAGGAGGGGGGAAUACUGGUGAUACAGUAUCCCGAACUUGGUCACCACGCACCAGCAACUAAAGAUUCGGAUCACUUCCUGGUAGAGAUCAAGCUUAACUAUUGUAUUUUAUUUAUUUUUAUCUGCCUAAAACAAUAUUUACUAUGUUUGUAUGCUUGUUUGUUUUUAGGAGAUCUUCACUAAUUUUGAUUGAAAAAUCUCUUUUGUUAAGAGAUAAUCAAGUGAAGAUCAUAAAUAGUUAUGCUUAAUCUUUGCUCGUUUAAGCUACUUGAUGUGUUUUAUUUCAGUAUGUUUUAUUCAAGUUAUCUUAUUUAUGCUUAAGCUAUAUUUGAUAUGUUCUCCUUAUAUAUUGCUUAAAUUAUAAUAUUUAUCUUGUUUUAUACUUAAGCUACAUUUGAUAUAUCUUCUUUAUAAUUGCUUAAGUUAUAAUUGUAGAAUUUAUUUUAAAUGCAUGCUCUAUAUGCCUAUGUGAUUUUUACAUGCAACUAUCAUAUUCAAUACUUUACAUCAUUACAUACUUGUAUAUGAUAACAUGCACUCACGUUUAAUACAUGCAUGUUAAAACAUAAACCCAUAAUAUAAUUGAUUAAUUUUAUCAAAAAAAUCAUUUAGAAAAUUUAGGGGUUUAAAUGCAAAAAAUCACAUGCAUAUUGAGAUGAUAAAUAUUCCAUUUAGUCCAUUGCAUUUAACUUAUAUUUAUUGGGCUAAUACAUAUAUCUCAAUAGUUCAAGUCGAUUUUCAUAAAUAUAUAUAUCACUUGGAUUAGGGCAAAUGCAUAAAAAGAUUCUCAAGUCAUUCAAGUCAUUUACGUGAAAUUAUUUCAUCUAUGCAAAAAUAGAAAUUCACGUAAAAUAAUUUGGAUAUAUGCUUAAUGGAUAUCUUAUGAUCCAUAAUGGGCAAAUACUUUAUUUUAAAUUAAUUGGCCCAUAUUAUAUGACUUUCUAAAAUAAUUGUUACUAUCUAGAAAAGUCAAAGAAACAAGGUUAAAGUCAAAAUUCGGAACACCUCUUUGUUAUAUUGCAAGGGGAGAAAGACCCAGGUAUGAUAUAACCUGAUAUAGGCCAUGAACGUUUCUUGAAAACGGAUUUAACAGAUUGAAGUAAUCUGUCCAGAAUGAUGUCACGAAAGCAAUGAAACAAUAAUUCUUGAUUAGGGUUUAAACUCCCUUGAGAAUCGAUUGAAGAUUGAACGAUUAUCCCAAUCCAAGGAUAAUCGAUAAUUGUGAAUUGGAAAGAAUUGUAGAAUCUAUGGAAAUAAAGGAAGAAAUAAAUAAAUAAAAGAAGAAUUAACGUUGACAAAUACCUAGAAUAAAAUAAAACUCAACUAGUCUCCACCUUUAGGGUCCACUUAUAUUUAUACUCUCAUUGUUUAAGAGUGGAAAGUCUACCAUGAGAGUCCAAGGGCUCGAUUAGAAUCGAGUCUAUUAGUAAUGCAAGCACUUAUAAGGACUGCAUCAGGCGACCCAUCUUGGAAUACAAUUGUCCUUAAUUGGUUGUCUUCCUCUGCAGGUAGAUAAUAUAUUCUUAAAUUUGCCACAUUGAAGGUUGAUGACAUGUUGAAUUCUGGAGGUAGAUCUACUAUAAAAGCAUUGUCACUAAUCUUCUUUAGUAGCUUGCAAGGUCCAAAAUUCCUGUCCUUCAGUUUAAAAUAAGAUCUUGCUGGAUAUCUGUCUUUUUUUAAGUGAACCAUUACCAAAUCAUUUUCAUUGAAAGUCCGAAAUCUUCUAGACCUAUCAGCUCUUUCCUUGUAGAGAUCAUUGGCUCUGGUUAUUGAUUCUUCUACUUGCUUGUGUAUUAAUUUGCUGGAUUCUAUAAUAUCUUCUACCUUCUUAUUUACUGAAGGUGUGGAGGUAACUGUAGAAUCAAAAUUAUCGAUAUAGGAUUAUAUUUUAAUCAUGUUAAUUUUAACCCUAAUUACACUAUUGAUCUAACGGUUAAAAUUAGUCAAGAUUAAACCUAUCUUAAAUUAAUUAAGUUAAAGGUUUAGUCAAAGUCAAAUAAGUACAAUUGCAUAAAACACCUUGAAUAUAAUUAUUAUUGUUAUCUAACAUUUUAUUCAAGGUACAAUAACUAAUGAACAAGAGAUACUAUUCACAAAGAAAUCUUCUCAAGGGGACAAAGAUAGCUUUAUUAGAAAUUAUUAUUCACAAAAGCAAGCAUCUACUAUUCAUAAAAGAAUCUUUCCAAGAAAAGAGAAGACAAGUCUUGGACUUUUGUGAGGAAUCAAGGAACCAUCCAUUGAAGAUCCAAGGGUUGACAAGUGAUGACCUAGGCUAUAAAUAGAAGGGCAAACCCUCCAUUUUCGUCCACCACACUUCAAGCACUUCAAAGAGUUUUUCGGUCCUCAUCUUGAGAUCUACAAAGUGUUCUUGCUUCCAAGUUUUCAAGCUUCCAAAAGCUCUCAAGUGUUCUAGCUUCCAAAAGCUUCAAAAUUAAAGCUCUCCAACUUCUACUUCUAACCUUUUUGUUCAUCUUUACAAGUAAAAAAAUUUGUGUGUUUAAUAUUCCACUCCUCUAAUCAUCUCUUGUGUGUGUCCACUUUAGUUGAGAGGUUUGUCUCAAGAUCACCAAAGUGUUAAAGAAGGUUUUUGAGCUAAACCAAAAAGCUCUAAGUUUGGUUUUAUAGAGUUUCCGGAGAAAACUCUUAGAUCGAAUCUACUUUGAAAGAUUUCUAAGUUUUUAAGAGUUCCUUGAUACUCUAAGGUCCUAACUUACCCGUAAAAGUUAGAGGUUUUUAAGAGUUCCAUAAUACUCUAAGGUGUGAGUCUACCCGUAAAAGACUGAUUUCUAAGCGAAGUUAGCCUUAAAGCUUAGAGAGGUUCUUAAGAGUUUCCUUGAUACUCUAAGAUGUGAGUCUACCCGUAAAAUUAAAGACUGGUUCCUAAGCGAAGUUAGCUUUAAAGCUUAGAAAGGUUUUUAAGAGUUUCCUUGACACUCUAAGGUUUUGCCAUAACCUUUAGGCUAGUGAACUCGGAUAGUUUGUCGGGACUGGAUUAGCCCUUGUUUGGAUGAACCAGUAUAAAAUCUCUUGUGUUGUUCUCUGUUAACUUUAGUAUUUAUCUAUCAUCUAAAAACUGCCAAACAACACUUAAUUUAACGGAUCCCUCUUUCAGUUACCUGGUCAAGAAUAGAGGUUGACUACUUUCCGCAGAUCUCUCAUCCAGUUAUCUGGUCAAGCAUCUGAGGUUAUUUUUAUUGUUCAAAUCUCUAUCCAGUUAUCUGGUCAAGUAUUUACUUAACAUUUUAUAUCCAGUUAACUGGUCCUUUACUCUAUAUUAUAACGUGCACUUAUAAUAUAACUUAGUAUCAAUAUACUACACUAUCUAAUAAAGCACUAUCUAAUAAGUUGACUCAGUAUUCAUAUACUGAAGUAAACUUUGAAGAGAAAAGGCAAGUUCAUAUAUAUGUAUAUAUAUAUAUAUAAUAUUAUAUUGUAAGAUAUAAUAUUAUAAUCAUUUUUAUUGUUGAUCAACCAUUUGUGUAUUAAGUGUUUACAGGUAAUUUCGCAUUUAACCUGUCCAAAUCGAAAAGAGGCUAUUAUCCCCUCUUAUAGCCUCGGAUCACGAUCCAACAGUAACAUUCAUUAUAUUCUUUGGAAGGUGGCCAUAGGCAGCUACAAAAGGUGCACAUCCCGUUGAUCUAUUUGGCAUGCAAUUAAAGGCAAAUUCCGCUUAAGCUAAAUGUUGAUCCAACUGUUUUGGUUGUUUCCCUCCUAGUGCUCUUAAUAGAUUUCCAAGUGACCUGUUAACUACUUCUAUUUUUCCAUCAGAUUGUGGGUGACAUGUAGAACUGAAUUUCAGAUUUGUGUCAAAUCUCUUUCAUAAAAUUCUCCAAAAGUGAGAUAGAAAUUUUGUGUCCCUAUCUGAUACGAUGCUACUUGAAAUGCCAUGAAGUCUUAUAACCUCAUUGAAGAAUAAUUUUGCAAUGUGAGAAGCAUAAUUUGUUUUUUUACAAGCAAUAAAGUGCACCAUCUUCGAGAAUCUAUCGACUACUACAAAAAUAGAAUCCAACCCUUUACUAGUUUUAGGUAGCCCAAGGACAAAAUCCAUAGAAAGGUUAGUCCAUAGUUUUUUAGCUACUGGUAAAGGGGUGUAAAUACCACUAUUCAGACUAGUGCCUUUUGCUUCUUGACACCUAGGACAUCUUUGCACAAAUUUUUCUACUUCUUUUCUUACUCUCGGCCAAUAAUAUCUGCUUUCUACUUGGGCUACUGUUUUAUCUCUCCCAAAAUGGCCAGCUAAUCCUCCCGAGUGUAAAUCCCUUAUUAAUUGCAGUCUCAAGGAUGUCUGAGGAAUGCAUAAUCUAUUUUCCUUGAAAAUAAAUCCUUCAUUGAUUUUGAAACCCUUAUUGUGUUUUUUCUGAAGGCAUUCCUCCCAAAUUCUCGAGAAAUCUUCAUCAGUAGGAUAUAAUUCUUUUAGACAAUCAAACGCUGCCACCUCUAAUCUUAGGACUGUUAAUAAAGAAUUUUUUCUGCUUAAUGCAUUGGCUACCUUGUUACUUGCACCAGAUCUAUGCUUUAUUGUAAAUUUGAAUCUCUGUAAGAAGGAAAACCAUCUGAUGUACAUUCUGUUAGUAUCAAAAGUUCCAUUUAUCUGUUUCAAAGCUAUAUAGUCAAUAAGGACUACAAACUCUCUCUGAAUUAAAUAAGGAUCCCACACCUUGCAUGCUCUGACAACAGCAAAUUUUAAUUCUUGCUCGUAUGUGAUCUAAUUUUUUCUGCUUGCAGUGAGUUUCUCACUGUGAAUUGCUACUGGAUGACCACUCUGACUUAGUACUGCGCCUACUCCAGAAAUGCUGGCAUCACAUUCUACUUCAAAAAAAUUAGAAAAAUCCGGAAGAGCCAAUACUGGUGCUGUUUGGAGUUUAUUUUUUAAUUUCCGAAAAAUGACUGAAGCCACAUCUGUCUGAAUUUCCUUUUCUUUAAACAGUCUGUUAUGGGACUAGCUAUUGAACUGAAAUUUUUUAUAAAUCUCCUAUAAAAAGAGGUUAGGCCCAUAAAACUACGUACCUCAGUGACUGAAGAAGGUGCAUGCUGGCCAAUUUUGUAGUGCUUCAGUUUCUCUUGGAUUCAUUUUCAUUCCAUGUGUCCCAAUGAUAAAUCCUAGAAAGCAUAGUUCCUCCGUAAAAAAUCGCACUUUUUCAGAUUUAAUUUUAGCUGAUUUUUCUCUAAUAAUCCGAAAACUGAUUUUACAUCUUUAAUGUGGGCUUCUUUGCUUUUGCUAAAUACUAAGAUGUUAUCAAAAUACACCACGACGUAGUUUCCUAACAAUGGUUUCAGUACCUCAGUCAUCAAUCUCAUGAAUGUUGAUGGUGCAUUGGAUAAUUCAAAUGGCAUCACCAUCCAUUCAUACAAGCCUUUCCUGGUUUUAAAAGCUGUUUUCCAUUGAUCCCCCUCUCUAACUCUGAUUUGGUGGUAGCCACUCUUUAGGUCCAUUUUAGAAAAAAAAUUAGCUCCUGCCAAGGCUUCCAAGAGCUCAUCCAGUCUUGGAAUAGGGAAUCUGUACUUCACCGUGAUUUUGUUUAUCGCCCUACUAUCCACGCACAUCCUCCACUCUCCAUUUUUCUUUGGGACUAAGAGUACAAGUACGGCAAAGGGACUUAAACUCGUUCUGAUCAAACCGUCUACUAGUAGUUGUUCUACUUGAUUCUGAAAAAUUUCAGCCUCUUUAGGUCCUAAUCUGUAGUGGGGCAGAUUAGGUAGAGAUGCUCCCGGAAUCAAGUCUAUUCUUGGUCAAUUUCUCUCUCAUGUGGUAGUGAUACUACUGAAUUAUUUAAGGAGAUAAGUGGAAACUCCUUCAGAAUUUGAUGUACUUCCUUAGGUAAUUCUUUUUGCUCAAUCUCUUCUUUUUCCAGACUUUUUAUUACUAGAGCUAACCCCAUAUCUUCAUUUCUCAGUUCUUCAGAAAAAUCAGACCUCUUUUGUAAUAGGAAAUUUGUGUUUAUAGCCUUUUUGCAAGUCGACUCAGGAGGAAGUGGUAGUAGGGCAAUCUUCCUACCAUCAGCUUGAAAAACAUAGGUGUUUAAUUUCCCAUGGUGAGUGGCAUUUACAUUAUAUUGCCACGGUCUGCCCAAAAGUAUGUGUGUUGCAUCCAUAUCAACUACAUCACAUACUAAUGUAUCGUUGUACAUCUUGCCAAUGGAUAGUGGGACUUUGCACAAAUAUCUAAUUUUUGCUCCCUCACUAUUUUUGAUCCAUCCUAUUGUAUAAGGCUUAAGGUGUUCUUCAAGGUUGAGUUCUAACUUUUUUGCUGCCUUCUCAGAUAUUAGGUUGUCUGUACUCCCAUUGUCUAUUUUUAUCUGACAAACUUUCCCUUAAACUGUUUCUUUGGUGCGAAAUAAAUUUGUCCGUUGAAUCUGGUAAGGAAUUUUAGGAGUGUGAAAAGAUCUAUGGAUCAAGCAAGAUAGACUUGAUCCUUCAUCGGGGUCAUACUCUUCUGCGGCCUCACUGGACUCAUCUGAAUUAAUGCCGUCUUCAUUCUCUCUCAACCCUUCACAGAAUUUUACAAAUCCCCUCCUAGGGUAGUUAUUAGCUUUGUGGCCCAUUUCAUGGCAUUUAUAGCAUCUUAUUGUGCUCCAAACAUGGUCUGUGACCCUUGAUUUUUUUUUCAUUCAGAUCUGUAUUUUUCCCUUCAGGCGUUGGCAGAAUUCCUUUGUCCUUGGAAUAGAUAGGUUUACUAGUUGAAGCUCCAAGUGAAAAUGAUGAGUACUUGUUUGUCUCUUUAGUUGUUCGGAGAUGCUUACAGUCUUCAUAAGUAAUAUUGGGACUGUAAAAUGACUUUUUCUUGAAGUGUUGAUUUUAAUCCCCCAAUGUAUCUCUCCAUUUGUUGUUCUUCAGAUUCAUUAAGGUUGUUUCUUGCUCCCAACCUAUGGAACUCCUCUGUAUAAUCAUAUACUGAACUCUGUCCAUGUCUGCAUUUCUGAUAUUUUGUAAAUAAAAUCGUUUGAAAUUCCACCGGAAGAAAUCUUUGUUUUCGCAUUUUCUUCAACUUGUCCCAAGUUCUUAUAGGUCUUUUUUGGAAUCUAGCCCUAUUCAUGGUGGUAUGAUCCCACCACACAGCAGUUCCACUUUUAAAUUUUAGUGCCACUAAUUUCACUUUUUUCGAAUCUGGAAUUUCCAUGCAGUCGAAGAAUCUUUCUACUUCUGAAAUCUAAUCUAAAAAUUCUUCUAUAUGUAACUGCCCAUUGAAUUCAGGCAGUUCCAUUCUUAAUCUAUAAUUCCCAAAUUCAUUUCUUUAAUUUCCUCCAUUGUACUCUUCAUACCUUUGUAAUGCUCCCCCUCUUGGAUAGUCUCGACGGCUCCUAUUUCUUCUUCUCUCGUACUGUAAUAAAUCUUUUUCCUCCUCUGAAAAUUCCUCCUCAGUCUGUCUAUUAAAAAGUCCUCCCUGUCUGAAAUUUUCUUCCUGUCUGAAAUUGUCACUCACUGCCUGAAAUUUUCCUCUUGCCGGAUCUGUUCUUCCAAGCGCUCCCUAACUGUGGGUGGGUUUCUUCUUCUGAAAUUUAUUGUCGGUUCUGCAUGUCAAUUCACUGCCGGAUCUUCUCCUCCAUGCGGCUGAAUAGGUUGCAAAUUCUGUUGCAUUGUUUGGAAGUCGUCCCUAACAAAGGUUGUCAUAUCUGUUAGGGCUUUUGCCAACCUCUCAAACUCUUCACGUGUGACGUUCUCGGCCAUCACUUGAUUUUGUUCUCACAAUUCCGUCCAGAACAGAUCGCAAUUCCUGUCUAGAACAAAUCGCAAAUCACUUAUUUUCAACUCGCAAAUCCGUCCAGAAAUAAAGAUUAAAUCCAUCCAAAUCGCAAAUUCAAAUAGUGGUGUUCCGCAAAUUGGCUAUCCUUGAUUAUCCUUGAUUUCUAGAUCGCAAAUCACUGGAGUAAAUCCACAACUCACUGAAAUAAACGGAUUUCUUAAAUAGCAAAUCACUGGAAUAAAUCGCUAGGAUUUUUUUCCCUCACGUGUUCUGGUUCUUCACAACCACUGCAAAUCAUAAAUCGUCCAGAAUCGCAAAUGCUUAACUCGCAAAUCCAGAAUGCACAGUUUGAAAAAAACACAAAUCAAGAACGCACAACCUCAAACCGUCCUAGUCUGAAAAAAACGCAUAGUUUCGUCUGGAAAAAAACGCAAAAUCACAAAAUGUAAUUCCGUCCAGGUGAAAAAAUCGCAACUUGAUAUUCUUGGCCAACUGCAGAUCGCGAAACCCUUCUAGUCUGAUACCACUUGAUGUAGGCCUUGAACGUUUCUUGAAAACGGAUUUAACAGAUUGAAGUAAUCUAUCCAGAAUGAUAUAAAGAAAGCAAUGAAACAAUAAUUCUCGAUUAGGGUUUAAACUCCCUUGAGAAUCGAUUGAAGAUUGAACGAUUAUCCCAAUCCAAGGAUAAUCGAUAAUUGUGAAUUGGAAAGAAUUGUAGAAUCUACGGAAAUAAAGGAAGAAAGAAAGAAAGAAGAAUUAACGUUGAGAAAUACCUAGAAUAAAAUAAAACUCAACUAGCCCCACCUUUAGGGUCCACUCAUAUUUAUACUCUCAUGGUUUAAGAGUUGAAAGUCUACCAUGAGAGUUCAAGCAAUUUUAUUGGGCUUGGUCCAAGGCUCGAUUAGAAUCGAGCCUAUUAUUAAUGCAAGCACUUAUAAGGGCUGCAUCAUAACCUUAGUUUGUAUUUGUUCUACCCCUGGUAUAUGUCUUACCUAGAUCUCACCUGCACAUACUCAUAAAAGCUUUAGACAAGGUAAAAAUUUAAAUUACUUUAUGAGUGCAAUAUUUACGAAAUAUAGGUGGAGUAAGACAAGGUAAAGUUAAGAUAUACCAAAAUGUUAAAAUUAGGAUUUUGAAAUUUCUUGACAACAAAUAUGCCAUUAACAAAUGGGGAGAAUGUAGAAACAAGAUUCUUAAUGACAUAUUUAGUUGUUAAUUAAUCUUAAUUAUAAUAAACCCUAAUUAACAAGAUAAAGAAAUAUAUGAGUUAAAAUUGCAUAGAUAAAUUUAUUGAACUCAUAUAAAUAAAAUUGACUUGAUACAUGAUUAAAUCAAAAUGAUAUUAGCCUUAAUUAUUUUCAUCAAAUAAAUCUCUAUAUUGAUCAAGUUAAUUAUUGAAGCUUGUAUUUAUUUAUGCACACCUACUUGUUUAAAUUAACUCUUGUUUUCAAGUUGCUUAAUAUCUUAAAGGUUAAUCAACAUGGUGUGAGAAGCACAACUAUCUAUGCAAGCUUCAAAGAAACUCAAGAUGUAGAAAACUUGCAGAAAAACAAUCAUGACAAAGAUUUCAAGAUCAAAUCCGACAAAUUAACUACAAGGAUCUUGAAUUCAAUGCUACACAAAAUCCUAGAUGAAGAAUUCAAAAAUGGAGAGGAGAAAAAUGUGUGGAAGGUUCAAUCUCCCAAGAUCAAAUCCAACCAAGAUUUUGGAUUAAAUGCUACACAAAAUCCUAGAAUGUGAAUUCAAAAUGAAAAAGAGCUCUCCACCAAUGAAGUCACCAAUGAAGUGUUUUUGAAUCUCUUCUUCAUAGGUGUUCAAGAGUUAAAGAAAUUUACCUUCAUGCCACCAACGUCUAUAUAUAAGGAGGGGCACACCCAAGAGCAAAGUCAUCACUUACCAUCUUUGUUAAAGCUCUCUUUGGAAUCAAAGCUCUACUUUCUAACUCUCUUGCUCAAGCUCUAGCUCUCAGUUAAGCUUUGUGUGGAAGUUGCUCUCAAGGUUGUGUGCUUUAUUUCUUCAACUUCUUCUUCUUUUCCUCUCGUGUAUGUCAAGAGUGUGUUAGAAGAAAAAGCUCAUCAUCUUGUAAGUGUUCUAAUUGUUGUGAGAGGUGUAUCUCAACAUCAACACUUGUAAGGUUCAACGAAUUCAACCUUAAAACUCGGUGUGGUUCUAUAGAGUUUCCGGAAAACUCUUAGGUUGAAUCUGCCUUAAAGGUUCAAAGGUUUUUAAGAGUUCCUUGAUACUCUUAGGUGGUUCGUAAGCGUUUAUCCUUAAAGUUGCAGAGGUUUUUAAGAAUUCUUUGAUACUCUUAGGUGAUUCACAAACGUUUAGCCUUAAAAUUUGUAAAGGUUUUGUCAUUACCUUUAGGCUAGUGAUCUCCGUGUUUUAUCGAAACUGGAUUAGCCCUUGUUUGGGUGUCCCUUUUUAUUUUCCGCUUUCAUAUUUUUAAAGUUAUAUCAAGAUAAAAAGGAACUAAAAAGAGAUCCCUCAUCCAGUUAUCUGAUCAUAGAUUGAGGUUGACUAUUUUCUUACAGAUCCCUCAUCCAGUUAUCUGGUCAUUGACUGAGGUUAUUUUCAGUUAAAAUAUAUAUCCUUAUAUAUUUUAACUUAUAUUAUUAUUUUCGUGCUUAUAAAAAAACUUAGUAUUCAUAUACUACAGUUGGCUUAAAAAACACUCACUGUCAAGUUAAAAUAUAUAUCCAGUUAACUGGUCACUUAUAAUAUAUUUUAAAUGUGUGCUUAUAAUAUAACUUAGUAUUUAUAUACUACAGUUGUUUAUAAAGCAUGAUCUGAUAAGUGGACUCAGUAUCUAUGUACUGCAGUAAACUUAGAAAGAACAGACAAUCUUUUUAUAUAUCCUUGUCUCUAACUUGUAUUCUCAAGUAUUCCGCAAAUCUACUAAGAAAUUACGAAAAGAGGUUAUAACCCCCCUUAAUCUCAGAUCAAGAUCCUACAAGUGGUAUCAGAGCCAAGUAGGUUAUUAGCAGCUUCACAUCUGUUUCUAACAUGGCACAGGAAGAACAAGAAUACCAAGAUUUUGCAUCAAACAAACCUCCUAUCUUCGAUGGAACCAGGUAUGAAUUAUGGAAGAAAAAAAUAAGGAUUCAUUUGAUGUCGCUGGAUAGUGAGAUAUGGAAAGUCACUCAUGAAGAAUAUGAGGCUCCAACUACGAAAGAAGAUGAAUGGACUGCUCUUGACAAACAAAGGUAUAGAUUCAUUACAAGGGCAAUGAAUGCACUGUAUGGAGCGUUGGAUGAAUCUGAGUACAGUUCCAUCCAGGUGUUCGACACAGCUCAUGACAUCUGGAAGCAGUUGGAAACCAUUCAUGAAGGUACAUCUCACGUAAAGGAAAACAAGCUUCUACAUGCUCACAGGGAAUACGAGAACUUCACCAUGAAGGAAGGAGAAACCACCGCUGAAAUGAACAGAAGGCUCAUCAACAUCGUCAAUGAUCUAGCUGGUCUAGGCGAACCUGUCAGCGAAAAGAAUCAAGUUGGAAAAAUUCUAAGAAUCCUUCCUGAUAAGUAUGAUUCAAAAAGAGAUGUCAUCCAAGGAGUUCACAACUUGAACAAGCUUCGUGUAGUGGAGCUGAUCGGAAAUCUGAUGGCAUAUGAACAGAUGAAGUUUACACCUAAAGAGAAGCAAAAAGAAGAGUCUAGCCCUUCAAGCAGCAUCAUAAGUCGACAGUCAAUCUGAUAAAGAUGAACUUGCACUUAUCACUGCAAAACUAUUUAAGCUGAUCAAAAAAAGAAAAGAAUCUAAAGCAAGCAGCUCGUAUCACAGAUCACACAAGUCAGACCCACCACAACAGAAAGAAGCAGAUAAGCAACAAGAGGAAAUCUGUUACAAAUGUAACAAGACUGGACAUAUAAGACCCAAUAGUCCAAACUAUAAAGAUACUGCUCAUCAAGUAAGCUGGUCUGACACUGAUGAAGACUUUGAAGCUGAUGAAUGUCUAAUGGCCAACGACUCAGACACCCAGGUCAGUUUUUACGAUUAUCAAAAAUUAGAAACAUCAUAUCUAGAGCUAGCUAGUAUCUAGAUAUAAAUAUGAAAAGAAUUUAGUUAAAUCAUUAAAAGAAAAAUACAUGCAAAAUAUUAGCUCUUCUGAUAAUCAUGAAUUAGAAAAACUUAAGACUGAAAAUGCUGCUCUAACAAAAAGAUUAAAAUCCAGAGAUAAAGUUGUAGAACAACUUAAGGAGCAAAAUUUAAUUCUUUUAUAUCAUAUUGAGUCCAUGGAAGAACCUUCUACUAUGUAUCUAGAAGAAGUGGAAAAACUAAAAAAUAAACUAGAUAAAAAGGAGAGUGUGAUUAAAACACUUAAGGAACAUAACCUUAUCCUUAUAGAUCUUGCAGAACAAGUAAAAGAACCCUCUUCUGUACAUCUAGAAAAUGUAGAUCAAAUAGAAAGCUUAAAAGAAAUAAAUCUAUAUCUAGAGACAAACCUAAAAUCAUUAACAAGAAAACUAGCUAUGCAUGAAGAAAUGAUUCUAAGAUGUGAAAAUAAGGAGAAAUGUCUAAUACAUGAAAAGGAAGAUCUUUUAGUAGACAUUAAUUCACAAACAUUUUACAUAAAAAAUUUAGAAAGGAAAAUAUGUGAAUAUAAACGAGACAUUUCAAAAUUUACAUAUAGUUCAAAAAUGCUUGAUGAUAUGAUCGAAAAAUCCAACACUAGACUAGGCAAGCCUAGUUUAGGAUUCGGUCAUGAGUCUCCUUCCCCAAGUACAUCUGUGAUGUACAAUAAAUAUUUUGUACGAGAAUCCACACAUAAGAUUUUCAAAUUAAACAUAAAAGGAUUCCUCAUAAUAAAAUAAGUGCCAAAAAAUUAUGGGUGUUUAAGAAAAAACUGCAACACUAUAAAGUUAUAUCUGUUAAUCAUUUAGGACCCAAAAACGUUUGGGUACCAAAAAGUAUGUUUUCUUCCACAGGUCAAUCAAAAGUCCAAAUGACUAUUGAACAGUGGAUGCACCCGACACAUGACAGGCAAUAGAAGAUUAUUAAGAGACAUAGCUUCAGUUCCCGAGGGGGAAACUGUUAUCUUUGCAGAUAACAUGACAGGUACCAUAAUAGGCAAAGGUAUAGUAGAUAGUGUAAAUAAUCCUUUUCUUAAAAAUGUAUAUUUAGUAGAAGGUCUAAAACACAACCUAAUUAGCAUAAGUCAAUUAUGUGACAUAGGUUGUGUGGUCAAAUUCGAAAAACAUUUGUGCACUAUUACAAACUCCGAAAAUAAGAUUAUUGCAGAAGGAAACAGAGAAUAUAAUGUGUAUUCUAUUACUUUUGACCAAACUGCCUCAUCUCAUGAACACUGCAUGAUAGCAGCCAGUAAUGAGAAAAUCCUAUGGCACAAAAGAUUGGGCCAUACUAGUUACUCCAAACUGACUAAGUUAUCAAAAGGAGAUCUAGUCAGAGGAUUAUCUAAAAUUGCAUAUAACCAAGAUAGCUUUUGCAACUCAUGUUAGAAAAGAAAGCAACAUAAAGCAUCCUUUAAAGCUAUUUUGGAAGUAACUACAUCUCGACCCUUGAACUCCUACACAUGGAUCUUUUUGGACCAACCCAAACUCAAAGUGUAGGAGGGAAGAGAUAUGCAUAUGUAAUUAUAGAUGAUUACACAAGAUAUACUUGGGUAUUCUUCUUGAGAAAUAAGAAUGAAGCUUUCAGCGAAUUCUCAUCAUUCUAUACAAGGGUUCAAAAUGAAAAAGAUCUCUCCAUUAUAAAAAUCCGAAGUGAUCAUGGUGGAGAAUUUGAAAACACUGAAUUUGAAGACUUCUGUAAAACCCAUGGUUUUAAACAAGAGUUUUCCUUUCCUCAAGCUCCUCCCCAAAAUGGAGUCGUUGAGAGAAAGAACCGAACUCUACAAGAGAUGGUAAGAACCAUGUUAAACGAACAUGAUAUAUCUCACAUUUUUUUGGUUGAGGCAGUAAAUACUGCAUGCUAUAUUUUGAAUAGAAUCAUAAUUAGACAGAUCCUAAAUAAGACUCCAUAUGAGCUUUGGAAGAACAGGAAACCCAAAAUUGCAUUCUUCAAAAUAUUCGGUAGUAAAUGCUUUAUCCUAAGGACUCGAGGAACACAUGAUAAAUUCGCUCCAAAGUCCGAUGAAGGAAUGUUUCUGAGAUACUCAGAACGAAACAAAACAUACAGGAUAUUCAUCAAAGAAUCUCAAACUGUAAUCGAAUCACUUCAUGUGAAUUUUGAUGAAUAUCCAAAGGAUAAUCUAAUAUCCUCCUCAGACAUAGAAAUUCAAGAAGAGUCAACUAUAUUGACCGAUCAAACUCCAUCAUCUGAAGACCUACAAACAGGUUACCCAAGUAAGACCUUAAGAAAUCCACAUUCUGAAGAAUAAAUUAUAGGAGAUAGAAAUGUUGGAGUUCGAAAAAGAUCAACCACUCAAAGAAACAUGGACUUUGGCUAUUUUGUGUCUCAGAUAGAACCCAAGAAAGUGGAUGAAGCCUUAACAGAUAACUAUUGGGUCAUCGUCAUGCAAAAAAAACUGAAUCAGUUUACCCACAGCGAUGUAUGGGAUUUAGUUCCUAAAUCCAAAGAUUGUUCAAUUAUAGGGACAAGAUGGGUCUUUAGAAAUAAGGUUGAUGAAAAUGGAAUCAUCGUUAGGAACAAAGCCAGAUUAGUGUCUCAAGGUUAUAAUCAGCAAGAAAGAAUUGAUUAUGACGAAACCUUUGCCCUAGUAGCGAGACUAGAAUCAAUAAGAAUACUUCUUUCAUAUGUAUGCUAUAAAAACUUCACCCUUUCUGAAUGGUGAAGUUAAAGAAGAAGUCUAUGUAAAGCAACCUCCCGGCUUUGAAGACUCUGAAUUUCCUGAUUAUGUGUAUAAACUCAAAAAAGCCCUAUACGGAUUAAAACAAGCUCCUAGAGCGUGGUAUGAGAGGUUAAAGAACUUUCUACUCUCUCAAGAUUUUAAGAUGGGUAGUAUUGACUAAUAUUCAUAAAGAGUAUUGACACAGAUAUUUUAUUAGUCCAAAUUUAUGUUGAUGAUAUAAUUUUCGGAUCCACCAAUAAAAAUUUGUGCAAAGAUUUAUCGAUUCUAAUGGAAAAAGAAUUCGAGAUGAGCAUGAUAGGAGAGUUAAGCUAUUUUUUGGGUCUCCAAGUCAAACAAAUAAAAAAUGGUAUUUUUGUUAGUCAAACAAAAUACUUAAAAGACUUAGUCAAAAAAAUUGGUUUAGAUAGCUCCAAAGCAUCUAACACUCCUGUGAGUUCUACACUCAGACUAGGAAUAAUAGACCUAGAGGGCUAAGAGGUAGACAACAAAAAGUACCGAGGAAUGAUUGGAUCUUUACUGUAUCUCACAGCAAGUAGACCUGACAUCAUGUUUGUAGUUUGCUUAUGUGCAAGAUAUCAGUCAAACCCUAAAGAAUCACACCUCAAAGCUGUGAAAAGAAUAAUCAGAUAUAUUAAAGGAACAAUUAAUCUAGGAUUAUUCUAUCCAAAAGGAAGUGACUUUUCCUUAACAGCUUACUGUUAUGCUGACUUUAGAAAAAGCACCAGUGGUACUUGUUUCCUAUUGGGAAACGCAUUAGUGUCAUGGUCAUGCAAAAAGCAGAAUAGCAUUGCUCUGUCCACCACAGAAGCAGAAUAUAUGGCUGCCUCAAGUGCAUGUGCUCAAAUCCUCUAGAUGAAGUAAACCCUAAAUUAAAAGAUUAUGACACUACUUUAGGAACUAUCCCUUUAAAAUGUGAUAACAAAAGUGCAAUAUGUCUAUCGAAAAAUACAGUGUUGCAUGCUAGGUCAAAACAUAUAGAUGUUCGACAUCAUUUUCUAAGGGAUCAUGUAGAAAAGAAGAAUAUUAUACUUGAAUAUAUAUCAACUGAUGAACAUUAGCUGACAUUUUCACAAAACCCCUGGAUUUGGAGCACUUUUCGAAAAUCAAAAAUAUUCUGGGGAUUUGUGACACAGUCAAAAAUAUUCUGUUCACCAAAGGUAUGAUUUAUAUUUUAUUCUUUAGUUAAUAUUAUAAGUCAACAUAUUAUUUCAUAGCUCUUAAGAUUGGAUUAAGUCAAAACUACAAUUUUGAUUAAUCACUUUAUAGCUAGUUAAAAUUAAUUAACUAAUAUUUAUUUCUAGCAUAAUAGAUGAGUGAAGAUAACUUAGAAGUUGGUAGGUGAGUUUAAUAAUAACUCAUUCCAAUAUGUUUAGUCCAUCUAAAACAAUUGUAUUUAAAACCCAAAUUAAUGGAUGGAUUAUAUGUGAAUAUCAAGGAGAAACCGAUUACUUAAUUCUUCACAACCACUUGACAAAAUUACACAUUAAUACUUGCAUUGUUUCAUUCAAAAAUUGUGAAGAUUUAAUACCCAACAUAAUGAUCUCCCAUUUAGUACUUAAAUCUCCUUGAGUAAAUAAAUUUUUAAUACUCGAAAUCACAUCCAUGGGAUUAAAGGAUUGUAUAGUUUAAAUGCCCAACAACCAUUGGUAAUGAUGGUUUUCAUUUAUGCAAUAUCAACUCCAUUUAUGGUAAUUAAACCCUUGCCAAUAGUUAUGGCUAACCCUCACCAAGAGAUUCAACCCAAGUGAAACAGAUAAGAUAUAUCUUAAAGAUCUCACUGGGAUAGCUUCAAUCCUGAUCAAACUCAUCGACAACUGCUUGUGUCCAAUGUCUACCAUUACUGCUGAGCCAUCCAUGAUAGCUCGAUCAAGUUGCUUCCUUCUGCAUCCUCGAUUGAAUCAAGGUUGAUUGGGUAGGUCUGGUUAUGUACAACAUGGCCACGGUUACUAUGAUACCAAAUGGAACCAGACACUAUCCUCGCUUGAUCUCCAAAGUCUUUGAUAAGUAUCAUCUUAAUCUUUCUUUGUCUAGGAGAUCCAAGAUCUGUCCUUUUCAACAUUUCACAGCCGCGUCAUUCAAGCAUAAGCUGCUCAAUCAAUUCUAUGACUCGGAUAAAGAAGAUAUGGAUGCCAUUAGAGUUGAGAUAACAGAUAUGAAACAUAUACUAGAUGCUCCUAUCGACAUGACUCUCCUCAACACAGAUACACUCAUGACUCUUAAAGGAUUGCAUGCAAAUAGAGAUGAUUUUGAUCUAGAAGUUGUUAGACAACUCAAUCUGGUGAACCAAAACGUCAAAGAGUUGGAAGAUCAAGUGAAGUUGAAUGAAGCUCGAAUGAAGGUUGCACAUGCCAAGUAAAGAACAUCAGAGUUAAUCAGGAAAUGAUCUUAGAAAGAUUUGGAUCACUUCCGGCCUGGUAGUGAUCAAGCUUAACUGUUGUGUUUUACUUAUUUUUAUCUGCCUAAAACAAUAUUUACUAUGUUUGUAUGCUUGUUUGUUUUUAGGAGAUCUUCACUAAUUUUGAUUGAAAAAUCUCUUUUGUUAAGAGAUAAUCAAGUGAAGAUCAUAAAUAGUUAUGCUUAAUCUUUGCUCGUUUAAGCUACUUGAUGUGUUUUAUUUCAGUAUGUUUUAUUCAAGUUAUCUUAUUUAUGCUUAAGCUAUAUUUGAUAUGUUCUCCUUAUAUAUUGCUUAAGUUAUAAUAUUUAUCUUGUUUUAUACUUUAGCUACAUUUGAUAUAUCUUCUUUAUAAUUGCUUAAGUUAUAAUGGUAGAAUUUAUUUUAAAUGCAUGCUCUAUAUGCCUAUGUGAUUUUUACAUGCAACUAUCAUAAUCAAUACUUUACAUCAUUACAUGCUUGUAUAUGAUAACAUGCACUCACGUUUAAUACAUGCAUGUUAAUGUAUUCUCAGGUAUUUCGCAAAUCUACUGAGAAAUCACGAAAAGAGGCUAUAACCCCCCUAGCCUCAUAUCAAGAUCCUACACAAAUCUGGUCAGUUAGGCGGUUAUGCGGUUACGGCCCAAAUGACCAGAUUACCUCCAUAAAAAUUCCUAUAAAUAGGAGGCACCUCUAACUCAUUUGGGCAGGUCAUUAGAAGUGGAGAAGUCCCAGCGAAGCAGAGCUCUGAGCAACUGAGUCCCGGCCUGAUUUUAUCGCGGAGUUCCCUGCCUGACGCUUGUUCGAAGUGUCAGGAAAUAAUGCAAAUGAAGGCAAGCGGCAGGAACGGCGGGGAUGUGAGGCCACCUCGAGCGCUGAGCCUAACAGCCACAGAAGUCGGAUGUCUGGACACGUUGCGAAGCCAAGCACGUUGGGAUUUGGGGCGAAGGGGUUCGGAGAUUGUCCAAAUCCGGGCACAUGCCGAACGAAGGGGCCGACGGUCACGUCAAGCGUAACCGAGUAGCGAGCGGACGAAUCCAGAGCGAGGUCGAGCAAACUCGAUUGCCGGGUGGAGAGUACCAACACGGGGGAAGUAUCGCCCGAACGACGGACGAAACCCGCAGGGAACGUCGGAGAACCAAGAGAUGAACGAAGUUCGAGUAGGGUCUGAGCCACGUCAAUAACGGACGUCGAAGGGUAAAAAAUUGCACGAACACGCACACGAAAGAAAGAGUCGUUAAAAUUUCCAAUAUAUCCAAAACACAAGUUACAAUCCCAAGCAACGGGAAAAAAAUACAACGAAAGUUACAAGCCCGAACUACAAUUUACAAAAAUACUUCCGCUAAGCGAAUUGAAAGACAAAAGGAAGAAAGUGUCAGUGUCGAAGGGAGGUGAAAGCAGCAGAAGAAAGAAGAGAGGAAAGAAAAGGCAUUCUGGGUGGCCCGGGGGAACACAACACCACAUCAACAGAUGAUGAGGAAGAAACGAACCAUGAACCACGCUCCUACAAAGGUUGGAAACGGGAGAGGGGUCGCCCAAAGAUGACCCCACCGGCCGAAGAAUCCAGGGAACGAGCAAAGGCCACCAAGAGGCGGACCGCUAGGAAGUGCCGCAAGUCAUUAGCCGGGAGGGACAAGGAUCCACGAGAACUGAUGAAGCACAAGAUUUGCUACCAGGGGCUCACGGUGGUGCGAGGUGAUGCCGAAGGAUCUGGAGUCCACGACGCGCGCGCUCUACGUCAAAUCCUGUAGGAGGAGAAUAGGCGAUUCUGGUAUGGGAAUCGGCGAUUCUUUCCGUGUAUGCUCUAGUUAUGUGGAACUUGUGAUCUCCCUUGGAGUGACCCCUUGGGACCCCUUUUAUAGGGUCUUUGGGGGCGCACUUCGUGGCGGGCAUCGCACUCGGGUCAUAAUGGCGCCCAUUAAUGGCCAUUAUAACGCGGGUUGGCGACGAGUAACGGUCGUAAAUCAGCGAUUCAGGUAGGGAAUCGACGAAUUAGGGGCAAAGUCGGCGAGCUCUAAGGGACGAGAUCUGUAGCCUACCAAUGCUAAUUAUCUCGACCUCAACUCGGCGAUUUACCACUAAUAUCGGUGAUUUGGUAGCCCAAUCGACGACCUUACUGGUUAAACUCGGCGAUUUGACGAUGACAUUUGUUCCGCAAUCGUGAGAGACUUCCGGGGGUCUGGCAUAAAGCGAACGGAACCCUACUCCUUAUUGAGGGGUGUUAUUGUUGGAAGUGAUUGACGCAAUCAGGCAUGUAUCAGCAAGAACCACGGUGGCCGCACGAUCGACGACGAUGAUCGUAAUUUUCGGCCGAAGCAACAACAAGCAUGGCGUGCAGAGAGCAGCAGAAGCUCGAGGUCACAGCGGCGGUAGCAGCAACACCAGAAGCUUCAACAGGGCCAAGAGUGUCGGAUCGACGGAGCUGAGCGAGACGGCGAUGAACAUCUAUCAGGACGGAGUUGAGUCGUUGGCUCUCCGACACGGCGACACUAUGGAAGUCACCAACUGGAAGCAACAGGCACUCCGCCCACGCGGCAUUCUGGAGUUUCGCCUCGCGGCCAAACUCCUCCAAAAGGUCUUGAACGCUCAUCGGAAAGGAAGGGUGGAUUGAAGAAAGCAGGCCACAGAGAUCCUAUUUGUAGAAGAAAAAAACGAGAAGGGGUAAGGAGCGCAAACAUCGAAGCGUCAUAAAGACGUUUAUUUGAGAAAGCAGGAGCAAUCAGACCGGGCGGUGCCCUACGGCCGCCAGCUCCCGGGCCCAGGGAGAAGUACUGUUGGUACCACGGACCGUCCCAACGGACCGUGGACCGAACCGUUCGGUCUCGGGCCCAACCGCGCGAAGGGACUGGACCCGGGAAAGCCCAAGAGGCUUGUAGGCCCCCUGGGCUAACACUAUAAGUACCUCCCCUGGUCCAACAGGGGAGGGGGUUGACAAUUGAGAGAAGGGAUUUUAAGAGUUGUGUGUGUGAGGAUCCCAUUGUGAGCCCACACACUAUCAGAAUUAUUGCCAUAACUUUCAAACUAGUAUUAUUCGUGUUUAAUCGAAAUUGGAUUAGCCCUUCUUUGGGUGAACCAGUAUAAAAUUUCGUGUGUCCUAUCUUUUAUUUUUAGUUUAUUUAAAAUCGAUUAUUAAUAAACAAAGAUUAAAAAGAAAUCUCUUAUCCAGUUAUUUGGUCUUAAGAUUGAGAUUGAGUACUUUUUAUUGAACCAUCAUUUGAUUACCUGAUCAAUUGAUUGAGGUUAAUUUUAUUGUUUAUCCCUCAUUUAGUUAUCUAUUUAUUUGAGGUUAUAAUUUCUGCACAUUUUUUAUCCAAUAAUUAUAUGAUCAAUUGACUGAGGUUAAGUUUAUAAACUUAUACUGAUAAUUAAGUUGACUUAUUAUUUAUAUAUUACAGUCUACAGUUAACUUUGAAAGUACAAAGACUUUAACCUAAAUAAUUAUUUAGAGUUUAAAGUAAAGCAAAUUAUAUCAUUUACUCUAACUUGUAAAUCUCAUAUAUUUUUGCUCUAAUUUUAGAUUUCGCGAAAAGAGACCAUGUUCCUUUGGUCUCGGAUUACGAUUAAACAAGUGGUAUUAGAGACAUGUUGCUAUCAGUUUUACAUCUGUUAUCAAUAUGACACAAGAGUAUCAAGGAUUUUCAUACAUAUAAGAUAAUGAACAUUUUCAUACGUAAGACAAGUAGGAACAACGUUAUUGUUGAUGUCAUUACAGAUCAUGGCGACUUCCUUCAUGUGAUCGGAAACCUUUAUCGACGUUGUUGAACUCCCAUCGCCAUGAUUAAUCUUCUUUGCUCUUAUCGCAAACUUUUCAAAAAUGUCCAUUAUCUUUUAUCUGACUAGAUGUUGUCUCAUAGAUAAGACUCUAUAUCUAAUAUCUAUCGAUAAAAGAAACAAUUAAUUGAAAUAAACUAAUCAAAUAAAGUCUUAAAGAUGAAGUAAACAUCAAAACUCAGAACACUCUAAUCAAAACUUAGAACACUCAAGAUGAAGGAAACACUCUAAUCAAAUUAAUAUAAAUCGAAAAAAUCGUGUUAAAAAAGACACCAUUGAAUCGACUUUCUGUUUGCCGGUCCUCCCAAAGCAAUUUGUCAAACCAUUCUUUUCUACAAUACAUGAAUUGCAAAUUUGGUGCACUAUUUUUACCCAUAAACAAUCGAUUUAAUUUCUCACAAUCCCACACAUAAAGAUACUCCAAUGAAUGCCAUUCCAUUUCCGAUUUUUCAUCACACUCAUGUUUCCAAACAUUCUCCAAAUUCGGUAAAUCGCGCAACCUUAAAUGCCUUAGCUUGGGAAACAAUGUCCUUGCUUUGGAACCACUAACACCUUGGUCAUCUUUUUCAAUGAUAUUUUCUAACUCAGAACAAGAAGAAAUAUUCAACUCUUCUAAACAUACAACACAUUCUGCCACAUUCCAUGGAAAAAUAAACUUCAAUCGAUCGCAACUAUAAAUAUAAAUUCUUUCAAGUCUUUCAAACGAUUUGGCGGGUAUUAUGGUUUGAGUUCCAGUAUUUACAAAGAUAUUUUCAAGUUCAACCAUAAUGCUCAGAUGUAGAUGUUCUAGUUUUGGUAGAAUUGGAUCAACUUGUGUGUUAUAUUGGAUGAAAUUCUUCUGUUUACUGCAAUAUCCCACUUCCAGACUUUUCAAAUUGCACAAUAAUUUCACGAUAUCUUGUUCUAUCGCUGAAGAAAUUGCUUGUGUAGCGGAAUUGUUAUCUAUCUCGAAAUCAUACAUAUACAAUUUUUUUGUUUUCUCAAACAAAACUUGUAACCAUUUCGCAACAUUGCUUAACUGAACACAAGGAAGGGUUAAAAUAUUUGAACUCCAAACUAUUUGUGCAUCAAAGACCCUAAGAUAUCUGAUGGAAAAGUAUUCAACUGGUGGGAUAACGAGACUUGGUGCAUAUUCAUGAGAAAAGAUAGUUUUAUCAUCUAUAUCAAUAUGAAGUGAGUACAAAUUCUUCAAAUCUUUCAGCUCCUCAAAUGUCACAUAGUCACCAUCUUCUUGAUUGAAAGCUUUCCAUUUGUUGUAGCUCCCUUGCAUGUUUAAUUCUUCUAAUGUAUUUCUUAGAGUCCAAAAAAAUUUCGGUCUUAUGAUAUCUAUCACGGUGUUUGAAAAAUCAAUCGAUCUAAGAUGAAUAAGCUUUUUACUGAACUCCUGAUUUAACUCUGAGAUGUGUACAUUCUGCAAGCAAAGAACUGAAAGAUGUUGCAAGAAGAAAAAGUCUGUUAUAUCGACUGUAAUAUUUUGAUGAAGGGUUUUAAACAUUAGAACACGAAGCUUCGCUAGUUUCUGAAGGCAUGUUUCAAUGAAUUCUUUUAUAGAUAUCGAUGUUCCUCUCAAGUCCAAGAACAAUAAAUUUGCCAUCCCUUCAAAGAAAUCAGGAUGAAUGCUUUCCAAUAUGUUGUUACCAUUGAAUGAUAAAAACUGUACUUCAUUUAUGUUCUGCAGUCGAUCUGUUGAAUUUAAAUUUUGAAUAGAAGAACUCCAUUUGAUGAACUUUUCAAUCUUGAAGAAACCUUCAAAUUCAUUCUGCGCAAUAGAAAUAGCUACAUCCCGAAUAACAUCAUGCAUCCUCGCUGAAUUUUCCUUUUCAUCAUCUAUUUCUUCUACAACAUCUUGUAAUAACCCUUUCCUCUUCAAAUUUAUAAAUAUAUCACGAUAAGUAUUCAAUGAUCUUUGUCCUCUAUCUUGCCUUACACGCUUAUCUGCUCCAAUGUCAUAGCAAAUAAAAUCUCUCAAUUGAAUUUCUUGACCUUGAGCAAAUACGCUACAUAGUAGGAAACCCAUCUUCAAAUCAUCUUCUUCUAGGCGUUCAUAACUAAACUUCAGCAGACGGUACAUAUUUUUCACUACAUAAAUAGGCACCCUUUGAGGACAAUCUUCAUUUAGAAAAUUUAAACAACCAUUCCAUUUACUCUCUAGUAUUUCUCCACGAAGUGUUUUUGCAACAACUGAUAUCGCCAAAGGUAGCCCUGCACACUUUCUACAUAUUUCUUGCGCUAUAUGUUUUAUUCUAAGAUGAUUAGGGUUAUUAUCAAUAUCAGAAUAAUUUCUGAAGAACACCCAAGAUUCAGUUUCAUCAAGUCUUGCAUACAUCUUGAUUUGUUCGGCCCCCAAUCUCCGACAAAUAUCUUGGUCUCUGGUUGUCAGAACAAUCUGACAACGUAGAUUUUCAUCAUUAAUGUCGAUACCGAUUUUUUUAAAGUCUAGAUCCUCCCAUACAUCAUCGAAUAUGAUCAAACUUUUAAAUUUUUUCAAAUGAUCUGAAAUUAUUCUUGCUCUGACACGAAUCUCAUCAUUAGUAUUGAAUUCUUCAAACUGUUCACUGGAGCAUAAUCUACGAGCAAUAUUUUUUUGGAUGUCCUUGAUAUCGAUAGUAUUGUGUGAUACUGUCACCCAAAUAACAAAAAUGUUACCAUAUUUUCCCAUUUCAUUGUUAAUCUUCCGCAUCAAUGAGGUCUUCCCAACUCCUCCCAUUCCCCACAACCCAAUCACAUUUUUAUUCUCUAAUGCUGCAUAUACUGAAUUUUUAUUAACUUCAAUAGAAUCAACUGAUAGGUAAUCGAUGAGUUGAUGCUCCACACCUGGGAAAUAACCGGCCCAACAACGCAAUCUUAUGAGCAAAUCCCUUAGCUGAGGAGAUACAGAUUCCAAGCAUUGUGGUACACCCCAAUUUACCACUGCUAAUACUGCCUGUUUUACUAUAGGUAAUAUGCAAGAUGACUCCAUCUAGAGUCUCCCCCACAGCAACAAAUACACUUUCAAUUUUGUUAUCACCAAGUCAAGUUAAAAAUAAAGAUUUGAUUUUUAAUAGAAAUAUUCAUUUGUGUAACAGUGUAAGAUAGUACGUAUUCAAGUUCAAAAAAUCACAAUGUUCUUUUUAUCAUAACAUAAACUUCCAUAUUUAUGUACAAAUACCUAAAUUUAGUUAUAUUUCAAUUCAUUAAAAUUUUCCGAAUUCGGAUGCAUACAAACCAAAAUAACGUUUAAUUUGUAGAAAUAACUAAAUAUACAUUUUUCAUAUUACAAAACUUAAAUUCUUAAUAUUUAAUCAUUUUGAAAAAAUAUAAUUUGUGAUGAGGGUGACCAAGAGUUGAUCGACCGACCAGAAUUUUAGUCGGUUGAUUCGAGUAACAAGUAUUUUGGUCGAUGGUCCCAAAGUGACUGACCCUUAAUUUGAUAUGCCUCCCUUCCAACUAAACAUGGGAGGGAAGCUCGAUCUGGGCCCAGUUUAGAACCCAAGGCAUGUUUGCGAUAUCUGAUAUCUUCCUCUAACUUUCGAGACCUCGCGUUAUUAACAAAUGCAUAAGAGUCUAUUCUUCAUACCGUACUCCAUAAUACAAGAACUGAUAUCAGCAAUAUUUCCCCCUUCAAUCGAGACAUGUAUUUUGGUAUCUAAGUGGUUGCAAUGGCCUACGAACCAUCAUUUCUUCCUCCUGAAUUAGCCAAGAUAGGCGAGAAUGAAUUGACAAUGACUAUCAAUUUUUCCUCCUCUACCUUUGCGGGGUAGAAUACUUCUCUCAUGAUUCAUUUAUAGUCGACGGGCUAAAGCGUCACACCGAUUACUGGGUAUUUUUCGUAAUAAUCGAUAGAUUGAAGCUUCAAAUUGAUUACUUAAACUGCGUAGAUUUCGUUAAAUUUCUUUAUAUUCAGUAAGACAAAGUGUCGUACCGACUAUCCUCUUGGAGUUUUCAAAAUUUUGGCAAGUGUCCUUCUCACCACCAGUGAGGACGGAGAAUUAAAGGAGGGUGAAUUUGCCCCUUUGCACAACCAGUUGACCGAGAACUUAUCCCUUUGGGAUAAUUAGGGUGACAAUUAAUAAAAACUCCCCUCUGCGGUCUCGAGCCUAAAGCUCAAAUUUGAUAAGCUUAUCAAGUCAUACUUAAUUUAGAUAUUAAUUGAUAAAGACUAUUAAAUAAACUUAAAUAAAAAUUUAAAUCUAAAAAAAACCUUCAAGUUCGAGCCCGAGCCCGAGCUCGGCCGAAUCAUGCUCGGGUUCGAGACAAUUUUUUAACGAGUCGAGCGUAGCUUUAUAAUCAAAAGCUCGUAUUGACACCGUAAGGAUAAUGAAAUAAAUAAACAAGAAACUGAAGAAAGUAGUAAAAAAAUAUAUAACGAGACCUAAUUAUGGAUAUUUGAACUCACCUUUUAUAUUCUGAAAUCUGAAUUAUUGUCACAAGAUCUGAGUCGUAAAUGCUUGCUUUGAGGAAAACUUAAUUCUAGAUUAUUUUAUUUUGACGAAAAAACUUGAGAUUUUUUAAAUUUGAUUCAGCAUGUACCAAACCUGUAAAAUAAAAAUUUAAAAUAACCAUCAGAACCGCAAAUAUCUACAAAUUAAGAGAAGUUGCAGAUGAAUGAAUAAAUGAAUAAAAGGGGAACUAAAACACUAACAUGUUGAUUGUACCCAAUCUAAACAACUCCAGGCAAUACAAAUCAGAGAACUCCAGACCAAGAAGUAGCUUUAAAACACAUGGUAUCAGUGGUUACCAAAUUAAUUUGCCAUUGGUACUAUAUGGUAGGUGCUGAUAAUUAAGUAAUCAUUAGAUUAAUGCAUCAUCCCUAAUGACUUAUUCCAAAUUGAACGAGAAACACAUAAAACUUAUCCAAUGUCGAUCUCUAUCUAAAUGCAAUAUCAUCUGGCCCUAUCUAAAUGGUUAAUUCCAACAAGUCAUUUAUAUCAAUAAUGACUUAUUCCAAUACGGCCCGUAUCAGGUAUAAGAAAGGUUCUUAUGAGAACCCUCUUUCAUCACGUCCGUCCGUUUCAAAUAAAAACCUGGACCGUCGAUUUUUUUCACCAGUUACAUCCGGUUCCAUGUUACCAAAAAAUAUUAGAAAAAUUGAUAAGGUACUAAUAGCUCAAUAGUAGCUUACGUAGUAGCUCUCUUAGUAAAUCCAAAAAAUUUGUAAAAAUUAAAUUUUAUUCAAAAAAAAACAAAUUUCACUUCACUCUCCCUCCAAAAACGUCCUCCGGCACGGCGAUUCUUCCGUUUUCCCGCAGCACUCCUCCGGUCUUCCCCGUUUUAUUCUCUGAGAACGGUACAUCCAACCGCUUCGAUCUUGUUCUACUCUUCCCUCCAAAAUCGAUUUCCUCCGGAGCUGCGAUUUUUUCUGUUCUCCCGUACAUCUCCUCCGGUCUAGCUCCGUCCUGUCGUUGUCGCGUGGGUUUUUUUCUCUCACAGCGUUUCAUUCAACCAAAACUGCUCCCCGUCCUGUGACUAAAAGAACUGCUACCAGCACGGCAACGAUAGGCGAUAGCAAGGAGUUCAUAUAGAGAAAGAAGAGGGCGGAGACGUUCAAAACCCUAAUUUUAUUCAAAAGAUUUUUUGUCUGAAGAGUUUGGAGUGAUUUAGAAGGGAGGGGUGGAGCAGGGCUGGCCGCCCAUAGAUGCUCUUCAAAAUCUUAUCAAUGAGGCGAAAAUCCAAGCUGUGUGGUGGGAUCUCUGCAUAUUCGGAAUUUCCUAUUUUCUUUCUCGUGAGUGGAUUUAUUAUCUUUUGUUUUGCUGUUUUAUUUUUUGUUUUCCGUCGACUAAUUGGAUUGUUUUGUUUCAUUCACAAUUAUUGCUUUCCUCCUCUUCAAUCUUAAUCUCCAGUUUCCAGUCAUUUUCUUUUCUAUUUCUUCUUGGGUUUUGGCAGUUAAGCAAGUAAAAAUAGGUAAUUUUUUUAUGAAGUUGAAACUUACGAGUUAAGAAGAUAAAAUUUACGUUACCUGUUCUGAAAUUAGAGAUUAUAGUGGAAGCCUACUGAUUUUUUAUCACUCCCUUCUACUUCUCCUAAUAUUUUUAUAUUAAUAGAUGUUUAACAAGCAUUUUCUGAUGAGGAUUAAUACUGGAUGUCAUUGAUGAAAUAUCAGCAAGGAUUAAAGAGAUCAAUCUUUUUGAGUUGCAGACAAAGUAAUUUUGUUUACCUUUACAUUGACAUACCUAUCUUUGUUCCAUAAAAUUUAAAGUAAUUACACGUGUUUCAGAGAUGCGAUUCAGUUAAUUUGUGACCAUUUAGAAAUGUUCAGAAGAUAUCAAUCUUCCAUAGGUGGUGUAAAAGUUAUCAGUACUCUAUCACAUGAACAGAUAGAUGAGAAAUUGAAGUGCUAUAUGUGGUAUUGUGGGGAGCUUGACCCAGCUAUAAGAUCUCCAGAGUGAGUACAAGGUUUGUCUUAAAUGAUAUGAUUUUUCAUUAAUCCACAAUACAUGUUAUAUGCCAUAUAUAUUAGUUCCUUGGUUGUUAUGACAAUUGACCCCGCCUCUACUGUUUUCAGGUCCUUCAACGUGUCUCGCUGGAGGAGUUUUGACUUCAGUUUUAGAACCAAUGGAUGUUCAAUCCCCACUUGUUAAGUGUUUAAGUACUGAUAUUACCGGAAGCACACUACACAGUAGCGUAAACACAUAAUAGCAGAACUGUACGACCCAGUAUAGGAAUGGGUGGAAUAGAUGUUGGUCUAAAUACUGAUAUUAGCAGAAGUACACUACACAGUAGCGUAAACACAUAAUAGCAGAACUAUACGACAUACUAUAUGAACGAGUGGAAUAGAUGUCGGUCUAAGUACAGAUAUUAACAGAAGGACAAUACACAGUAACGUAAACACAUAAUAGCAGAACUAUACGAAACAGUAUAUUAAGGGGUAAAAUAGAUGUCGGUUUAAUUACUUAUAUUAGCAGAAGGGUACUACACAGUAGCGUAAACACAUAAUAGUAGAAGGGUACUAAAUUAGAUAGUAGCGUAGUCGGUGGAUGAAUUGUUCGUCUAAGUACUUGUAUUAACAUAAGUACAAAAGAUAGUAGCGUAGUCAGUAAAUGAAUUAUUCGUCUAUGAACUCAUAAUAGCAGAAGUACACUAGAUAGUAGCGUAGGCAGUGAAUAAAUUAUUCGUCUAAAUACUAAUUAUAGCAUAGAUACGUUAGAUAGUAGCAUUGCACACAAAAAAGAUAGUGUCGGAGAACAUGAAUGAUAGUCUGGAUUUAAAAUCUACAUUAAUUCACGAACAAAAUGCAAAAUAAAGAAAUGUCAUUUUUUCUUAGCAACUGAAUCGUGACAAAUUUCCUUUGCGUUCUUUAUCCGCAUUGCGUUAAUUUUCGUUGGUCUUCCACUCUUACCACUCCUUUUUGUUUUAACCUUCGUCGGAGACCCAAUCAAUACAGUGGUUUUCUUCGUCUUUUGGAUUCUUGUUUAUUGAUGUUAUAGAAUAUAAAUUUGAAACGAGUAUUGAUGCAUUAAGUUUUUGAAGAAUUUCGUCACCAUAUUUGAGUAGUAUAUCAAGUUAAGUUUGUCCUAUCUUCGCAUAAUUCAUUAUUGUCUGCGACAUUACUAAGUACUUGGAUACAGUGGCGUAUUCAGGAUUCCCCGGCAGGGGGGGCAAGAUUCGCCGAAGGCGAAAUUUUUUUUUUGUAUUAAUUAAAAAACCUAUACAAAUUUUGGCAUGACCUAUUCAUAUAAUUGAUUAUAAAAACCUAUAAAAAAUCAAUACAUUCAUAUUUCAUAAUUAAUAUCCAAUACAUUAAUUAAUAUUCAAAUUAAAAAUAAAUACAUUCAUUUAAUUAACAAUAAAAAUUUCAAAUACAUUUUACAUUACUUCAAUGUCCUACGACGAGGACACAUAUCAUUAAAUAUUUUUAAAAUAACUUCGUUGUCUAUAGUUUUAAAAAUAUCUUUUUCGAUAUAUGUUACUAAUCAGUCAUUCAUCAAACUAUCACCAAGGCGAUUUCUGAGACGAGUUUUAACGAUAUGCAUUGCUGAAAAACAACAUGGGAACUCUCAAGGGAAAAACACUUCUUUGAUAAUGUGAGAAAAUGGUUUUCACAAAUUAUCUCUAUGAUUAUGGAGGAUUAGGUGGGAAAACUAUAUACCAAAGACUCACUUAGUAGUUUGCCACUUUAUUCUGAGCAUAAUAAUGCAGCAGAUUGAAUUCAAGUCACAUAAUAAUGAAAUCCAAAAUUCAAAACAAAUCAUCUCAUUUGAUUGAAAUCUGGCAUCUUAUACUGUUAUUGAUUGGUGAUCGAUCUUGUGUGUUUACUAUAGAUAGUUUACUUAUUUCCUUUCAACUUGAUCAUUCUGAAAGAAAAUAAUUCUAAAACAACAUCACAACAUUUAUUUUAUACUUCAUAUUGUGUUAUUCUAUUAUUCUUCUUUUCAGAAUUUUAGUGGUGGUAAUAAUUUUUGGAAUAAAUAAUUAUAUUUACCUAGGUUGUUGAGAAUUUUCAGAAUUCUUGGGGGCAGAAUUUUCAGAAUUCUUGGGAAGUCUUUAGAUCUUCACCUAGGUUGUUGAGGGCAGACCGCAGACAUACACAGUCACACACCACACACGCACUGACGCUGGGACGCACACCAAUUUGAUCCCGCCUGAAGGCUGAAGAUGGUAGUUAAUAGUUUGGGGGCAGUGGCGUAUCCAGUUUUUGAAGGACCCAUCAACUGUUUGGGGGUAUGUUAUUGAUCUUGGACUCCUUGUGUACUAGAAACAACUUAUAUAGAAAGCAACGGAGGGAGAAAUCGUGAGGUGGAUGGGUCAUGAGAGUUGGGAGGAGGAGAGAUUGGGGAAGAAAUUGAAGGAGGAGGAGGAGAAAUCGAUAGUUUUGGGGAAGAAGAUUGGGGGAAAGAAAUUUAUAUAAUAUAUAAAUAUUGUGAAAUUUAUACAUUAACCCUUAAAAAUAUUAAUAUAUUGUGAAAAUUAUACUAAACCCCCUAUAAAAAAUUUAAUUACAUAUAGGUCCUUCAAAAAUUUCCAAAUUUUAGGGGGGGCAAUUGCCCUCCCUUGCCCCCCCUGGAUACGCCACUGCUUGGAUACAUAUAUAGGAUUAUCAGGUUCUGAAAUUGAUGGAAAAAUUUUGUGAUUCUUGCAUAGUUUUUUCCACCUAGACAUUUUUAAAUCGUUAGGUAAAUUUCGAUACCGGUUGACAAUCAAAUAAUGUAUAACAUGAGAGCAUGGGACGUCGCUAUAUUCGAAUCGAUGGCAUGUGCAUGUAGGUGUAGAAUUUCCUUGAGUAAGAGUGAGUUUAAAUAACUCGCUCGAUUUGUCUUUCUAAAGACAAAACAGGUAGAUAUUGAAUAUCUUAUAAAAAGAAAAGUGAAUUUGUCAAAUUAAUAGUUGAACCUAACAAAAAAUUUAAGAAAAAAAAUAUACAAAAAAGGAAAGUGAUAUCGUGAACCGUAAACCCUAACCUGAAAAAAAACAUGCAAUCAAAUUGAAGAUUUAUGACUAUAAGUAGGUAAAAGAUAGUAACAAGAAGAAAAAUUGGAAGUAUACGGAAGAAGAAAAAAAAUCUGACAAUUUAACGAAGGGAAAAAGAGUGUGAGAGGGAAAAAAAUUAAAAUUUACAUUAUGAAGAGAGAGAGAUUGUGAGAGAGAAAAAAAAUUGGUUUAUGACAUUAGAAGGAGUGAGAGGGAGUUUGUGAGGUAGAGAAAAAAAUUAAAAAAACUAAACUCUCAUAAUUUUUGAAGGAAAGAGAAAAUAUAAAGAAAAAAAAUUAAAAACCAAAGUCUAACAAUUCCAUUGAGAGAGAGAAAAGUGAAGAAAAAAAAUUAAAAAAUUAAAUUUAAUACAUCUCAUGGGCUCUCUCUACCGGUUGGGAAUGGAGGGUGGAGAUUUAUUAAAGAAAAAUGGAAGGCGAUAAAGUUCUCAUUUGAGAACCUAAAAAAGAGGUUCUCACCUGAUAUUUUUUGUAUUCCAAUAUUAUCGAGAAAACCCAUAAAACUUAUCCAUUGUUAUAAUGUUUUACUGCACUUGUUUUUUUUAAUUUAUUCAAAUCACUUUAUAAACAUCCGACUAUUUUAUUUCGAGUGACACGAAGUUUAGACGAGGAUAGAGUGUCAAACGAGCAGAGUUUUUGCUUAUAAAGUUGGGUUCGGACUCGACUCGUUAAGGAAUUGUCCAAACUCAUGCUGUCCAAAUUCGGGCUCAGCCAAAAUUGAACAAAAUUAAAGAAAAAAAUUUAAAAUCUGAAUAUUUUUAAAAAGAUUUAGGUUUUUAUUUAAGCUUUCUUAUAAUUUAUUCAAUAGUCAUUAUCAAUUAAUAUCUAUAUUUUAUUUAAUUAUUAAGAAUCCUAUAACGAGCUUAUCGAGCCGAGUCGAGCUUGAAAAGUCUAAGCUCGAGUUUGGCUCGAUAAUCUUAUCAAGUUUGAGUUUUUGACUGACGAGCCCGAGCUUAACGAGCCGGACUUUUGUUGACACCUUAGGCAAGAACUAGUGCUUAGAGAAUAGACAAAUAACAGAAAAGACAACAAAAAGAUGUCUAGGUGGAUGUCUUGGUGGUGAAUGAUGCUCAUUAAUUGAGCCCAUUAUAGAAUAAUUAAUAUUUAAUUUAAUGACUAAAAUAACGUACUGUAUAAGACACUAACACAUGUACGACGUAAAAUAAUGUGCAAGACAUUAGCAUAUGUACGACGUAAAUUCGAUCUAAUAGACAUAAUCAACUUUUAACACAUAUACCAUUCGUAUUAUACGGCGUAUCUUAAUAAUAUUGUAUUUACAUAAUCGUUAUGUUUGAGGACGUCCUCGUAAGUUUUGAAACUUGGUGUCACAUUUCUUGCUACAAGUCAAGUUAAAAAAACUUGGAGACAUUAACUGAGAAUACUCUGCUUAUCCCAUCUAGCCAUUUAUAAUGUAAUGCUAAAUUUUUCAAUACUAGUGGUCCAUACCCCCUUCCAAAAUUUGUCAACCUCUUUUCUAUCAUUAUGGAUUCUCAGACGUUCUUGUAUGUUGGUGAGGUACCACUCCCGGUUCAAAUACAGUUGUAGUUGAGCCUACAUUUUAUGACUUUAUCCAUCUUGUAUUUGUUAUCUAUUAUUCCAACUCAUAGAACGGAAUCUAACCUUCGUUGUUUGUCUAUAUCUCUAAGGUCUUUUCUCCUCACAUACCUCUCUUUCAUCCAUGAGGUUCAGAUAGAGUCCUGCGCCGACCAAAUCUUUUUCAACCUGAUUAUCCUAGAUGCCUCUGCUGGUUUUAAAAAGCAUCUCAUCCCUAGGCCCCCUUCCUUCUUGGGCAGCGUCAUUUGUACUUAAGUAAAAUCUUGCUUUUCGUUCUAUAUAUACCUAUAUAAAAUGGACAGAUCCUUAAGUGUUUCUUCUGAUAGUCUACAUAACACAUUUUAAAUAUACUCAUAAUUCUUCAAAUGAAAUAGUUGGCCAUUAAUUGAACUUGGGCUCAUUAUAAGGACAAAAAUUCACACUUGAUUCAGAAUCUUGCAGGUUCAGAAAUGGUCAAAGUUGAAAAAUGAUUUCUUCUACAAAUCAAAUCAAGUUAAAAUAAACUUGGAGGCAUUAACUGAGAAUACUCUGCUAAACCUGCUAAUACUAAAAGUCUAGACUUUGGUUCGAACGAGGAAAUGAUCGCCGGCGGUACUCUUCCGAUCUCAUCCCCAUCCACAAAGCGGUACAUCCUCCGCCUCUUCAUCUCCCUUAAGUACGUGACGGCUAACGUGGUCGAUAUCAAACGCGGCAAAGUUGCCGCGACGGCCUCCUCUGUCGAGAAAGCAUUAAAGGAGGGAGUGGUGAUGGUGAACGGCCAGAGAAGAAAUAAUGCCAAGGCCGCCGACGCCGUUGGUGAAGUUCUUGCAAUGAGGCUCAAAGUAGACGGUCUUGCUCGCGAGCCGAUAUAUGCAGAUGUCAGGAAGGAAGUUGAGAAGAAAGGGUUUAGGAAUCAAACUAGGGUUUGGGCUAUAAUCAAUGCUCUACGUACACACGGUGUUAAUCUUAUUUUCAAAGAUCCUCAGAAUACUUCCGACGGCAUUCAGCGAUGGCGAUCCUCCUCCCGGUAAAUUGAAUAAUUCUUAUUCUUAUUGUUCUGCGGAAUUGUUAAUACAAUGAAUGCCGAAUGAUUUGACAUUUGCAGAUAAUGAAUGAAUUAUGGGGCAUUGUUGGUGUAACCCAAAGAUUUACAAAUCUGAGUUCCUUUUUUACUUUGGGUAGAGAUGAAAUCGAUUCUACAAGCUUCAUCAGUGUUAUUUUAUCCUUGACCAGAUUAAUUUUUCCCCAAUUUUGCCACUGUUUUCUGUCUGGGUUUUUUCUCCCAAUAAUAAUAAUAGAAGAAUCCAAGAACUUUUGCUUCUUUGAUUGAUUUCUCUCUUUCUUCUGCUAAGACACACACCAUCUUUAGACUAUAUUGAUUCUCAGGCUAGUUUUGUGGGCAUAUGACAUGUAUGUUUGUUUCUUCAAGUGUUGUGAAAGGAAUGGUGGAUCACUUUUAAGUAAAGCAACACAUAUUCAUAUGCACAAUCCAACCAUUAAAGCAUAACAAGUGUCACACGGGAACCAAAAAAAACUAGCUACCAUGUGUUCUUCUUUUCUUUAGAGAUUGGAGAAAUUCUGAAAAGAGAAAAAGAGUGUUGAAGGAUAGAAACUUAUGUGUAAAGUUUUGAAAGAAAAAAAUCUUUUUCUUUUCAUUUUAAAGGAAGAACAGAACAUUGAAUCAAAAUUCAAAAUAUAUGUUAUGACAAUUGUUGUAGAAGAAGGCACCAUCACUAGGGAGGAUCAUCACGGUGAGUUGGUUAAGACUCCACAAUGUCUCUGCUCAUGGUCUACUGGCAUUGCUCGUUACAUUUAUGCUCUUAUCUUCCUCACCACUAAUCUUUUGGCAUGGAUGGUUAGAGAUUACGGCCGAGUUGCACUUUCUAAGCUUCGGAGUAUGCAGUUUAUUCUCUCUUCUUCUUCAUUAAGUACAGUUUUAUUUGUUUUUGUUUUUUCACUCAUAGAAAAUUUAGAAAUACAAGGUUUCCAUUCGGGAAAGGAAUGCUUAGGCUCAGAAGGCGUGCUCCGUAUAAGUCUUGGUUGCUUUGUAUCCUUCAAAAAAUAAAAACUACCCACAAUUUAUAUCGAAGUACAUCUUUAAUUAUGUUUAGCUCUUCUUUUUUGUGAUGUUUGUUUCAACGGUUGGAACAAGACAAUUGGGGCAACGUAGGAAUUCAUGGCAUUCAAGUUGGUGGUCUGCCAAGAUUAUUCUAUGGAUGAUUUUCAUGAUCUUCCCUUUCAUCAUUCCUUCUGAUUUUGUCUUGUUCUAUGGUAAGCCAUUAUUUGUAUAUAUUUUUUAAAUUUAUAUUUCUUAUGAGUUAUGAAGUAACAUUGCAGUUUGCAUACCAUCAAAUUCCAUUGUAUCAUUUUUUUAACUAGAUCUCUUAUGAAUUCUAACUUUCCUUAUCAUCAAACAUCAAUUGUAGGGAAGAUUGCUCAUUUGGGUGCAGGGUAUUAUUCUCUUUCGUCGACCCAAUAUGAUUGUUUUUCUUUCUCUAAACCCUUUUUCCAAUUUUUAUUCCUUAAUAGUCAAAUUUCUUGAGAUAUCUUGUUUUUUUUCCUUUUUUCAGAAUUUUCCUCUUCAUUCAACUAAUAAGUGUGAUCAGCCUAAUAACUUUGUUAAAUGAUUAUUUUCGGAUGGGAAACAAUGCUGAGAGAUGGUGGGUACACUGUGCAAUUGUUUUAAAUAUGUAUUUUUCACUCUUAAUUCUUGAUCUCUUCUUCUUUGACACGUUUGAAUUUUGUUCUCAGUCGAAUUCAAGUAUUCGUCAUCUCAAUUACUGCAUAUAUCGUAGCGUUGUUAUUCAUUAUCUUAAUGUACAUCUGGUAUGCACCAAAUCCAUCUUGCAAGAUCAAUAUAUUUUUCAUCACAAUGACAUUGGCACUUAUUCAACUAACAACAUUCGUCUCCACACUUGACAAAGUGAGUUUACAUUUCAUUAUCUCCACAACCAAACAUCGUAACAACACAUGUGAUUUUUUCAGUCUUUUUAUUUCUUCCAAGGUGAAUGCAGGAUUUUUAACCCCAGGUUUAAUGGCGGUAUACCUGGUUUUCAUAUGCUGGUGUGCUAUUAGGAGGUAAUUUCAAUCAUUCGCAUUCGUGAUCAUUGAGUUUUUAAAAUCAUUUAAAUCAAAGUGUAUUAAUUUUAAUAGAAUCGUUAAUCACAGUGAGCCACACAGUGAGAACUGCAACAAGAAUGAUGGAAUGCAUUCGAAUUUGAUGACUUAUAUAGUAAUAUAUUUUUUUCAUAAUCCGCCCUGAUUUAAUACGCCCUGCCCUGGUUUAAUAAAUAGUUUUUUUUUUCAGAGUUUUGUUGUGGCUGUACUUGUUAUAGUCGUUGCGACAUUCACAACUGGGAUUGAUUCCAAGUGCUUUCAGAUGAUUUUUUAUGUCAGCAAACUGCAUAAAACUUCCUGUUCUUUAUUUUUCAUAGAAAAUCUAUAAUUCUCAGUAGAUCACUUCUUGUGUAGUUCAAGAAAGUGAAAACAGAGACAGAAGAAGAUGUUCCAUAUGGUUAUGGAUUCUUCCACUUUGUCUUUGCAAUGGGUGCUAAUUACUUUGCAAUGUUGUUCAUUGGUUGGAACACACACCAUACUAUGGAAAAGUAAGUUUCUCUGAACAUUGAUUCUGCAGUGUGUUAUUUCCUGUUCGUCAAAAUGUAUUAACACUUUUAUUAAAUAUUGAAUGGAAAAAAGUUUUUAUCGAGUGAUAUCGUCAAAGAAUUUUACUUUUUUACACACUGUAAUUAUUCUCCAAAUGGUUUAAUUGCAGAUGGACAAUUGAUGUUGGAUGGGCGAGUACUUGGGUUAGAGUUGUGAAUCAAUGGCUUUCUGCAGUUGUUUACUGUGAGUAUAUUUUAGUUGUUUCCUGUGUUCUUUUUCUUUUCUUUUUCAAAGUAGUUAAAUUUUAACAACAAAAAAAUCAUUUUCUUUUUUGAAGUAUGGAUAAUUGUUGCGCCAUUGUUUUGGAAGAACUUGAGAUGUCCAGAGCCCCAAGAAGGAUAACUUGAAUCAAAAUUGACUAAUUGAUUACUAUUUUGCAAAAAUGAAAAACGAAAGGUAACUUGUUACGAUUCUUAAAAAACACAAACACAACACGAUUUUAACACGAACAGUCGAACACAUGUUCAUAAAAAUACGAUUUUAUGAACACGAACAGUCUAUUCGUGUUAAUGAAAAUUAUGAUAUAUUGACAUAACUAAUUGUGUAAUUAGUAUAAUUAACUAACAUUUUGAUUAAUUAGAUUUAAUUCUCUCUUUUGUAACUACCUAAGAUUGUAGGGUUUAGGCUCAUCCCAUAACUUCAAUCCAACUCCGACCAUGGAUUUUUUCUACGUGUUUUUCUGCAAUCAUCUUUCUUACCUUCCCAACACCGUCCCAAUGCCGGGAAAUUGCGAAAAUAUUUAAUCAACGACGCUAAGCUUGGACUUUAUCUCAAGGAACCGUGAUGAGGGUAGUGGUUUUGUAAAACCAUCUGCGAUUUGGUCCCUUGUCGAUAUGUGUGUUAGCAUUGAAACUUACACAAAGGAUAUUCAUAUAAGAUAUUAACUGAUGAGAAUGAGAUGUUAUGUCUCAUACAUAUAUAAAACUCUAUAUCUAAUAUCUAUCGAUAAAAGAAAUAAUUAAUCAAUUAAUGGAAAUAAACUAAUCAAAUAAAGUCUUAAAGAUGAACUAAACAGUACCAAAUUACCAAUCCAAAUAUAUAUAAUAAAUAUGUUUUCAAGUUUUGCAAACUCACAAUAUAAAACUCACACACCACAAACUCAUAAUAUAAUUAAACUCACAACAUUGCUAAAUUUUUUUUUUGCUAUAUUUUAUAAAUCCUCCUCUCUUAUUCCUUUAUUAUAAAUCCUCUUCUUUUUGCAUCGAUUUUUUGCUUGCUGGUCCUCCCAAAGUAAUUUAUUAAACCAUUCUUCGCUACAAUUCAUGGAAUCCAAAUUUGGUGCACUAUUUUCACCCAUAAACAACCGAUUCAAUUUCUCACAAUCCCACACACGAAGAGACUUCAAUGAAUGCCAUUCCAUUUCCGAUUUUUCAUAACACUCUUGUUUCCAGACAUUCUCCAAAUUCGGUAAAUUGCCCAAUUUUAUAUGUCUUAGCUUGGGAAACAAUGUCUUUGCUUUGGAACCACUAACACCUUGGUCAUCUUUUUCAAUGAUAUUUUCUAACUCAGAACAAAAAAAAAUCUCCAACUUUUCUAAACAUACAACACAUUCUGCCACAUUCCAUGGAAAAAUAAACUUCAAUCGAUUGCAUACAUAAAUUGAAAUUCUUCCAAGUCUUUCAAACGAUUUGGUGGGUAUUAUGGUUUGAGUUCCAGUAUUCACAAACAUAUUUUCAAUUGCAACCAUCUCCAGAACUAUAUAUUCUAGUUUUGGUAGAAUUGGAUCACCUUGUGUGUUAUAUUGGAUGAGAUUCUUCUGUUUACUCAAAUAUCCUAGGUGUAGACUUUUCAAAUUGCACAAUAAUUUCACGAUAUCUUGUUCUAUCACUGAAGAAAUUUCUUGUGUGGCGCAAUUGUCGAAAUCACACAUAAACAAUGCUUUUGUUUUCUCAAUCAAAAGUACUUGUGACCAUUUUGCAAAAUUGCUUAACUGAACAUAAGGAAGGACUAACAUAUUUGAACUCCAAACUCUUGGCCCAUCAUAGGACCUAAUAUAUCUAAUGGAAAAGUAUUCAACUGAUGGGAUAACGAGACUUGGUGCAUAUUCACGAGAAAAGAUAGUUUUAUCAUCUAUAUCAAUAUGAAGUGAGUAUAAAUUUUCCAAAUCUUUUAGCUCCUCAAAUGCCACAUAGUCACCAUCUUCUUGAUUGUAAGCUUUCCAUUUGCUGUAGCUCCCUUGCAUGUAUAAUUCUUCUAAUGUGUCUCUUAGAAUCGAAAAAACUUUCGGUCUUAUGAUAUCUAUCACGGUGUUUGAAAAAUCAAUCGAUCUAAGAUGAAUAAGCUUUUUACUAAACUCCUGAUUUAGCUCUGAGAUGUGUACAUUCUGCAAGCAAAGAACUGAAAGAUGUUGCAAGAAGAAAAGGUCUGUUGUAUCGACUGUGAUAUUUUGAUGAAGGGUUUCGAACAUUAGAACACGAAGCUUCGCUAGUUUCUGAAGGCAUGUUUCAGUGAAUUCUUUUAUAGAUAUCGAUGUUCCCCUCAGGUCCAAGAACAAUAAAUUUGCCAUCCCUUUAAAGAAAUCAGGAGGAAUGCUUUCCAAUAUCUUGUUACUAUUGAAUGAUAAAAACUGCACUUCACUACGUAGUUGAUCUGUUAAAUUUAAAUUUUGAAUAGAAGUGAUGAACUUUUUGAUAUUGAAGAAACCUUCGAAUUCAUUCUCCGCAAUAGAAAUAGCUACAUCCCGAAUAACAUCAUGCAUCCUCGCUGAAUUUUUCUUGUCUUCUUUUUCUUCUACAACAUCUUGUAAUAACCCUUUCCUCUUCAAACUUAUAAAUAUAUCACGAUAAGUAUUCAAUGCUCUUUGUCCACGAUAAGUAUUCAAUGCUCUUUGUC